AUACCCUAUUAUUUUAAGCUAUAUAUUGGUAGUAAUUAAUAAUUUAUGAAAUCAUAAGAUUUUGGCGGUAUUUUAAGCUUAUUAGAGGAAUUUGCUCUGUAAUGGAUACAACGCCUUAAUCUUACUUAAUUUGGUUUUGAAGUCAGUUUGUAUACCACUAUAUUUAAUUAUAUUGAAUAAUUAUAUUUAAGAUUUUUUUUUAUAAAAAAUAUAUUAAGUCAAGGUGCAAUUUAUAAUUAUGAAUGAAGUGAAUUACAUUAAUUUUAAUUUUACUUAAAUAUUGAAAAAAAAUUAUAGGAUUUAAUAGUAAAA
rnacentral:rRNA from 1 species